rnacentral:rRNA from 1 species
AUUCGAAGCAACGCGAAGAACCUUACCAGGUCUUGACAUCCCUUGACAACUCCAGAGAUGGAGCGUUCCCUUCGGGGACAAGGUGACAGGUGGUGCAUGGUUGUCGUCAGCUCGUGUCGUGAGAUGUUGGGUUAAGUCCCGCAACGAGCGCAACCCUUAUUACUAGUUGCCAGCAUUUAGUUGGGCACUCUAGUGAGACUGCCGGUGACAAACCGGAGGAAGGUGGGGAUGACGUCAAAUCAUCAUGCCCCUUAUGACCUGGGCUACACACGUGCUACAAUGGCGUAUACAACGAGUUGCCAACCCGCGAGGGUGAGCUAAUCUCUUAAAGUACGUCUCAGUUCGGAUUGUAGGCUGCAACUCGCCUACAUGAAGUCGGAAUCGCUAGUAAUCGCGGAUCAGCACGCCGCGGUGAAUACGUUCCCGGGUCUUGUACACACCGCCCGUCACACCAUGAGAGUUUGUAACACCCAAAGCCGGUGGGGUAACCUUCGGGAGCCAGCCGUCUAAGGUGGGACAGAUGAUU